GCCCGUCCCGUUAGUCUGUUCGUCGCGCUGCUCCUUCGUUGGUUUCUUGGUUUUAUUUUUUGCCCUCACAUUCGACUUUGUUCAUCUUCAUUCUCUCCGCAACGCAAGGCACGCUUCUCUUCCUGUCGUGAGUCUCGUGCGUUGACGUGUCUCUCUCACUCUCCCUCUCCCUCUCCAGCCCUCGCGUUAGCCUUUUAAAAGACUUUCUAACUAACCACCGCAGGCAUCACCGAUCACCGCCACCAUCAAGCACGGGUGCUGUAGCGAUGGACUCCCCCAGCGAUGGACGUGUGCACGACGACUUCACGCCUGGCAGCCCUCGCGCCCCGGACCAGGACGCAGCAGCAGCGGCACGGCAACAAAAGCCGGCAACGACUGGCGGUCUCCAGAGCCCGGUCGACGGGAAGGCGCACUUAGCCCACCCUGAGGCGACCUCACUCUUCGUCAAGUGCCCAUGGAUGCGGCACGUCCCCAUCUUCAGUGAGGCAGCGGAAGGCUAUGGUCCCAAGGUGGUCGUCUCCCUCGGUAUGUGCUACUUCCUCUGCAAGGGCAUCGCGGAUCAGCUCAUCAGCUACUCGCGGCAGCCCAUGUUCAUGUCCCGCUACGGCAUUGACGGUCAGCGGUAUCAGCGGUUGGCGGGUAUCUCUACGAUGGGGUGGUCCAUCAAGGCCCUCACCGCGAUGCUCUGCGACGGCUUCGCCUUCCUCGGCUACACGAAGCGCUGGUACAUGUUUGUCUCCUGCCUGGGUGGUGCCGUUUUCGCCCUCCUCUACGGCCUGCUGCCCGCGAGACCUGCCUCCGCCGACAUUGCCGCCGCCUUUGUGUUCCUGUGCUCCUACGGCAAGGCCAACGUGGAUAUCUUGUCGGAGGGCCACUACAGUCGCCUGAUGCGCUUCAACCCACGGCCCGGACCGGCGCUGGUGAGCUGGAUUUGGUUGUUCAUCAUGGUGGGCGCCAUCGUUGCGGCCGCGAUUCAGGGCCCCCUGUCCGACCAAGGAAAGCAGCAGGUGGGCGUUUUCAUCUCCGCCGUUCUGCAAUGUGUCACCGGCGUCUUCUUCCUGUUCAACUGGUACGGGGAGCGCAAGAACCGCGUUGAACGGGCGGCCGAUGCAGCGCUGCUCUACGAGGAUUUGCGGAAGGAGCGCGUGGCACUUGGUCUGCUGCCGGCACAGGACAGCAGACACGUCAGAAGCGGGAAAGACGAUGUGGUCGCCCUAGUGAACGGCGCGCCGAGUGGUGCAGCUGUAGGGGCAAAGAAAAACUUGCACCCGGAGAACCACUUGUCGGACGAGGAGGGCGUGCCGGAGUUAGAGCAGCGCCAGCGUGAGGCUCUCGAGGAGGAGAUGCGCAGCGACGCCCUCGUCGUAGGGGAGGAAGAGGACGAAGAGCUUGCGGAUGACGAGUACCUGCCCUAUGAAGUCCCGCAUCCCGUCCCCUGUCUCUUCGGCCUCUUUGAGAUGAACAAGGAGGUAAUUAUCCGCAACUGGAAGAUCUUCGUGUACAGCAUCGUCAUGACGUGCUCGGUUGUGGCCAUGACGUGCGGCUCCAUACUCGCGGAUACACUGGGUUUGCUCAUCAUAUGUGUGGUCAUCUCGACCAUCUGCUGCGCUACGUCCUUCUGGGCCAUGCCGCUGGUGAUUGCGAAGGCCAACGUCUUUGGAUACCUGCAGAUGACAGUGUACCUGCAGCUUCCCGGUGCGCUCGACAGCUUCUACUUGGCCAACGCGGAGUGCUUGCCUGAUGGGCCGCACUUCACCUACACCUUCUACAACACGGUGGCGGCCGUCAUUGGCAACAUUGGCGGUCUUAUUGGUGUGACAGCCUUCAACUACAUCUUUUCGAAGCACAGCUACCGCCUCACGUUCUGCAUCACGACUGUCGUGCAGAUCAUUGCCUCCGUCUUCGACAUCAUCAUGGUGAAGCGCUGGAACGUGUACAUCGGCAUCCCUGACCACGCCAUGUACAUUUGCGGUGAUGCUGUUGUGUAUCAAGUGUGCUACAUGCUGGCCUGGAUGCCGAUGAUCGUGCUGCUGUCUCGCCUGUGCCCUCGUGGCUCGGAGAGUGUCGUGUAUGCGCUGAUGGCGGGCUUCUCCAACCUUGGCCAGACCACCUCGUCGUCUCUCGGUGCGAUCAUCAUGGAGUAUGGCUGGAGCAUCACCACCACACCCCCGUGCAACUUCAGUAACGUACCAUGGCUUCUGCUCGUCGGUCACAUCAUGCUGCCGCUGCUGGUGAUUCCGCUUACUCUGCUGAUCCCGAACGCGCGCAUUUGCGAUGACCUCGACGUUGAUGGUAAAGCGGUCAAGAGCGCCGUCAGCCACCAAGUCGCUCUGGACGCGGCGCAGGCUGAGGACGGCUUCGAAGAGAACACCUCGUCGGUGGAGGCUGCUGACGUAGCAACGAAAGACCUGCAAGCAGAGAGGAAGCGCGCGUGAGGCGUGGGGUACGCCGGUUUCCGAACGGCGAGCGAGUGUGCGAAGGAGCCGGGCCGGUGGGCAGGCAAGAGCAGAAAUAAAAAAGAACAAAGCAAGCAACUGAAAGGCAGAAGCAGUUCACGGUGUCCGGGGGAGGGAGAGGAGGGCGAGGAGCGAUGGCGGGUGUACCACAGCGUCGUAUUUUGUGUGUGCGCGAAAGUGAGCCUUGCAGAUCGCCGUCUUUGCCUUCGUCUCUCCCUCCCUCCUCCCCCGCCCCCUACAAUCUCCUCCGACAAUGCCAAAAAGUGGAUGCAUCGCUGUCCUCCUGUCUUCCCUUUUCUUUGGCUUGUGCUUGCUCCGGUCGAGUCGCUUCCUUCUGUGCUGUAUUCCGGUAUCACCUCCUUCGACACCGACCGCGCCCCCUCCCUCCUUAGCAUCAUCUCUAGACGAUCCUUGCCGUUUCGUCUCCUGUUUUCUUUCCUUGUUUCUCCACCCCCUGCCAUUCCAACGUCAGUAAUGCGCGUGAAUGUUUAUGGAGCACACGCCACUGUGGAGCGUGGGAGGUGUGUGUGUGUGUUCGACUCAGUGAGAUGCCAGCGUGGAGCCCAUCGUGCGCGUCAUGGCGUAAACACGCACGCACAAGCAUACGCACGCACACAAAACGUGGCCUCUGCCUGCCUGCAUUGUAAUGUGCUGACGGGUGGAGUGCAAUGGCCAGGCGCUCCUAACCUGCUUUAACAUCUUAUUUUUCCCUGUGGAUGCCUUUAUACAUAUAUAUAUAUAUAUAUAUGUGUGUGUGUACGGGUGUUUUGGCAGCUGAGAGGAACUAAGGUCGACGUGGACGUGCGUGCUGCCUGCGUGUUGUCCGUCCCUGCGGCACUGUUUCUCCCCGAACUUCCACUUUCCUGUGACAAAGCCCUCUGUCUGCUCUCCCUCCUCUUGGUGCGCGCCCCACCUCGUCUUUCCUCCGACGAGUGCCUUUAUUUUCGUGCGGUGCCGUUGGCGCACGUCUCUCGCAUCGUGAGCUUUUCUCUUACAUGUCUUUAGUUUUGACCCUCCUUUCUUCUACCAAGGGAUCCGCAGUGGUCCAUCGCCCUCGGGCGGGAAGGGUGUGUGUGUGUGUGUGUGCCUGUGUGUUCUCCUCCGACGCUGCGCUCCCUCGCUGUCGCACUGAGAUGGGCGUCGUAAAACGUCGGCCUCUGCGAGCAUGUGUGGGUGUGUGCUGGCUUUUGUCUUGUCGGGUGAGAGUGCGAACGGGACGGGCAGUGCCGCUCACGCAUCUCUCCUUUGGGUGUUGUUUUGUUUUCUCUAAGUGCGUGUGUGCCCCGAUGAAGCCGGCCACCCAAACGCGCGGUAGCUCAGCGUCCAGUGCCCCCACUCUGAGUGUUUGGGGGGGAGAGCCAGAGCAGCCCAUCGCUGCUGAUGUCGGCGGUGAGGUCCUGGGUGGCGUGGCGUCGGAGCGACCUGCACUACUGAGCACGCUUGCGCCAUCCAUAUUAUGAUC
rnacentral:misc_RNA from 1 species